AGAUACGUAUGUGUCAUCCACAUCUCGAAGAUAUCAAAACAUUAAAGAAAUACCUCAUCGUCGACUAGCUUUUCCUAUAAAUAUAAGCAACGGAGCAACCAUACCACGCAUCACCUCCUAGGCAAGACGGCAACGAUGGCGAAGCACCUGAAGAACAACGUCCAUGGACUGCUGCUACUCUCUUUCGCUCUACUCCUGUGUUCUGCAAGCCUGGGACGUACAUACGGAACAAGAAUCACAAGCGACAUGAGGAGUAAUUUGGUGAUCGGUGCAGACAGUACAGUUAGCGACAACGGUGACCCGCCGUAUUGCCAGGAGAAGCCGGACAAAGGGGACGCGAGAUUCUGCUGUUUGUUGGAUGGCCUUUGCUGGAAUAGUACCGACGAAUGCAACCGGAAAUGUCCGUGUUUGCCAACGCAUUGUUUGUAGCUUUCGUGUUGGAUGGAAGUCCGUCUUUCCGUGCGGAUGAAUUAUAAAUCUCAACUGUUGUAAGUCCGGAAAUAAAUAACGAAGUGCUGGUCAGCUA